rnacentral:rRNA from 1 species
AGAGUUUGAUCCUGGCUCAGGAUGAACGCUGGCGGCGUGCCUAAUACAUGCAAGUCGAACGAAUCUCUUUUAGAGAUGAGUGGCGAACGGGUGAGUAAUACAUAGGUAACCUGCCCCUGUGCGGGGGAUAACAGGAGGAAACUCCUGCUAAUACCGCAUAGCCAUGAGCACCGCAUGGAGCUCAUGCCAAAUAUCCUUUCGGGGAUAGCGCAGGGAUGGACCUAUGGCGCAUUAGCUAGUUGGCGGGGCAACGGCCCACCAAGGCAACGAUGCGUAGCCGGCCUGAGAGGGCGGACGGCCACAUUGGGACUGAGACACGGCCCAGACUCCUACGGGAGGCAGCAGUAGGGAAUUUUCGGCAAUGGGGGAAACCCUGACCGAGCAACGCCGCGUGAGCGAAGAAGGCCUUCGGGUCGUAAAGCUCUGUUGUAAAGGAAGAACGGCGCAUACAGGAAAUGGUAUGCGAGUGACGGUACUUUACCAGAAAGCCACGGCUAACUACGUGCCAGCAGCCGCGGUAAUACGUAGGUGGCGAGCGUUAUCCGGAAUCAUUGGGCGUAAAGAGGGAGCAGGCGGCCGCAAGGGUCUGUGGUGAAAGACCGAAGCUAAACUUCGGUAAGCCAUGGAAACCGGGCGGCUAGAGUGCGGAAGAGGAUCGUGGAAUUCCAUGUGUAGCGGUGAAAUGCGUAGAUAUAUGGAGGAACACCAGUGGCGAAGGCGACGGUCUGGGCCGCAACUGACGCUCAUUCCCGAAAGCGUGGGGAGCAAAUAGGAUUAGAUACCCUAGUAGUCCACGCCGUAAACGAUGGUCACUAAGUGUCGGGGGUCAAACCCCGGUGCUGCAGUCAACGCAAUAAGUGACCCGCCUGAGUAGUACGUUCGCAAGAAUGAAACUCAAAGGAAUUGACGGGGGCCCGCACAAGCGGUGGAGCAUGUGGUUUAA